CCUGAUGCAGCCGUGCCGCGUGAGCGAAGAAGGCUUUAGGGUUGUAAAGCUCUUUCCCGGAGAAGAUAAUGACGGUAUCCGGAGAUAAGCCCCGGCUAACUCCGUGCCAGCAGCCGCGGUAAUACUGAGGGGGCUAGCGUUGUUCGGAAUUACUGGGCGUAAAGCGUGCCUAGGCGGAUUGAUAAGUUAGGGGUGAAAGCUCGGGGCUCAACCUCGGAGCUGCCCUUAAUACUGUUGAUCUAAAAUCCGGAAAAGGUGAGUGGAAUUCCCAGUGUAAGGUGGAAUUCGUAAAUAUUGGGAAGAACACCGGCGGCGAGGGCGCUCACUGGGACGGGAUUGACGUGAGGGACCAAAGCUGGGUAAAAAAAGGAUUAAAAUCCC
rnacentral:rRNA from 1 species